rnacentral:pre_miRNA from 1 species
AGUAGGAUUACUGAGUCAUAUGGUAAAUGUAUGUUUAACUUAAUAAGAAAAUGCCAAACUCUUUCUUAAAGUAACUAUACCAUUUUGCAUUCCCACCAGCAAU